rnacentral:rRNA from 1 species
UACGGGGGGGGCAAGCGUUGUUCGGAAUUACUGGGCGUAAAGGGCUCGUAGGCGGCCAACUAAGUCAGAUGUGAAAUCCCUCAGCUUAACUGGGGAACUGCGUCUGAUACUGGAUGGCUUGAGAUUGGGAGAGGGAUGCGGAAUUCCAGGUGUAGCGGUGAAAUGCGUAGAUAUCUGGAGGAACACCGGUGGCGAAGGCGGCAUCCUGGACCAACACUGACGCUGAGGAGCGAAAGCCAGGGAGCAAACGGG